AUUGAACGCUGGCGGCAGGCCUAACACAUGCAAGUCGAGCGAGCGGCGGACGGGUGAGUAAUGUAUGGGGACUGCCCGAUAGAGGGGGAUAACUACUGGAAACGGUAGCUAAUACCGCAUACUAUCGGAUAACCCAUAUGGGAUUAGCUAGUAGGUUAGGUAAUGGCUCACCUAGGCGACGAUGCCUAGGUGGUCUGAGAGGCUGAUCAGCCACACUGGGACUGAGAUACGGCCCAGCCUCCUACGGAGGCAGCAGUGGGGAAGAUUGCACAGUGGGCGCAAGCCUGAGGCAGCGAUGCCGCGGGUAUGAAGAAGGCCUUCGGGUUGGAAAGUACUGUCAGCGGGGAGGCGUUACCCGCAGAAGAAGCACCGGCUAACUCCGUGCCAGCAGCCGCGGGAAUUC
rnacentral:rRNA from 1 species